UGGGGCGUAGCUCAACGGUAGAGCAGCGGACUUUGACUCCGCUGGCUGGAGGUUCGAGUCCUCCCGCCCUUGCCA
rnacentral:tRNA from 1 species